UACGGAGGGUGCGAGCGUUAAUCGGAAUUACUGGGCGUAAAGCGUGCGUAGGCGGUGUAGUCAGUCGGCCGUGAAAGCCCCGGGCUCAACCUGGGAACGGCGGUCGAGACGGCUAGACUCGAGUGGGCUAGAGGAUCGUGGAAUUCCCGGUGUAGCGGUGAAAUGCGUAGAGAUCGGGAGGAACACCGAUGGCGAAGGCAGCGGUCUGGGGCCACACUGACGCUGAGGCACGACGGCGUGGGGAGCAAACAGGAUUAGAAACCCGUGUAGUCC
rnacentral:rRNA from 1 species